rnacentral:lncRNA from 1 species
AAGAUAACUUCUGAUUGUCCAGAUCGUAGACUACGUGCAUAUUCUGCUGCUGAAAAUUGCCAAUUGUAGAGCUUUCGUCUCCGGAAUCGAACAUCGCCAAGCACAUUAAACCGACGGUAGAAUCUUGGUACAUGUAAUUUUCGUGCGGCAGAUCCAUAUCAGCGCCUUCGAAGUGGAAUAUCAGCUUCGGCACGUCCACCUUUGCUGACGGAGACGACGGCAGCGAGAAGCAAAGGUCAAAAACCUCUGCGGUGGCGUUAGCCACGGGCGGCUUCACCUGCGACAAGAAGGCGCUCCUCACGAGCUUGUAAGCAACCGUGGUUAGCUGCGUGAUGGCCGUUCCGGAGUCUAUGAUCACUCCGCCCGUCCCGUUUCGCUGCAGCACGAAUGCCGACUUCGGUAUCGGUAGACGGGUCGUGCCGACCGUUAUACCGUCGAGAGAGAGGUAAUAGAAGGUUGGCUGUGAAGGAUUCAGAACGAACGGAGUCGACCGGACGGCAGUAGCACUGCCGUUCAGAUCGGCAGCUGAUCCUAACAUGAGUGUGCUGCUCUUCGAAUCGUCGUCGUCGUAGGAAAUGAAGCAGUAAGAAAACUUUCCGACUCCUAACUGAGAGAUGAGAGACAAGGACCCGCGACCAAAGCCUGCGAUCCCGGAUUCGUUGUUGAAGAGGCCCCCGUUGAGAAACCCACAGCCGAAUCCAAGGUUCGGGACCGUGACGUUGUUAGAGGACCCGAAGGUGAAGGCCUCGCUGGCGAGAGUGCCGAUGGCGAUUGAGUUGUCGCCAUAGCCGUAAAGAUAGAGGCAUUGUGCGUGGCAGGCGGAUAGAGGAAGAGCCCGGCAGAGCUUGCUGGAGCAGGCGAGCGGCGAGUAGGUGGAUGAUUGCGAAGGAUCGUACAAAGGAAAGCGCUGGUUGAAGCACGAGAGGCAGGGCUGGCACUGCGUCCAGACGAGAUCGCUGCCAGUAUCAAGGUUGAGCAGAAGAGGCUGUGGUGGCGUGCCGAUGGAAACUCCGAUGGUGUAGUCGCCGGCAUUUGGCAAGACAGGCACGUCAGUUGUGGAUAUCGAGUUGGCAGAACCCCCGCGCGGCCUUGGACACGAGCAUCGCACCCCGGGCCCUGCUUCGGAGCGCCAUGCGCUGCAGGAGCUCGAAUUUGGUGAAGUUCCGGCCCGCAUCGACGUGGGUCAGGUCCACGCGCAGACCGUCGAAGGCAGAAAUGGCCGGAGGAACUAGCGAGACAAGGAGGAGCACCAGGACUGCAGGCAGCAUAUUUUCAGAGGGCUUAACAGCAUACAUGUUGUGGUCUGAGUUACAGAGACUAUAUGUUUUGCGAAGCUAACACUUGUUUGGAGGAAUGUUUAUAGAGUGGGGGAUUUAGCAAGAAUGUGUCUCCCUGAUGGCGAAUAUUGUUGAAUUAUGUAGUGUUAAAUUUUUCUUGGUCUAAUACGAGGACUUGGUUAACGCGCUAUUACAUAUAUUUCCAAAUUUUGGGUCUCAAUCGCCGUAGUGAAGGGGUUUAGCUCGAACACAUUAUACAUUAUACAUUAUACAUUAUACGUAUCUUGACGCGGCAAAAUUAUGCGUGCCUAUUAGCGGCGUAAACGAGCCGGACACGAACGAGUGGGGGCCGGCUCGUAUUCGGCUCGUUUAAUAAACAAGCUGAAUACGAACUGGCUCGUUAAAGUAUUGAGCCGAAAAAUUCAGCUCAUAUUCGGUUAUUAAUAACGAGCCGAAUACGAGCUGGCUCACGAACUGACCAACGAACAAUAAGUUAAGCCAACGUUUAGAUCGGGUAUAAAGGGGGAUAAGAGGUUAUCCCCCUUUAUACCCAAACAUGAUUUUGGGGGGUGGGCACUCAACCCGGUUCCCACCCGGUGGGAACCGGGUUGGGUGGGAACAACUUGUUCCCACCCAGGGUUGGGACAACGGGUAGGAACAACUUGUUCCCACCCACCGGGUAGAGAGAAAGAGAGAGAGAUUGAUUUUUAUUUUAAAUUAAAUUUUUAAAAUUUAAAAUUAUAAAUUUUAAAGUUUAAAUUUUAAAUUUGAUAUUUUUAGUUUUUAAAAUUUAAAUUUGAUAUUUUAUAUCUUUUAAAUUUAAAUUUGGUCUUAAAUUUAAAAUUUGAUAUUUAAAAUUAAAAUUUUNAAUAUCAUUAUUUUCUAUUUAUAACUACCAACUAUUCUAGCUUAUACUCACAUUUUCAUUCAAACAUAAUUUUUCUAAUUCCAGUUUAUAUUUACAUUUUCAUCCAAACAAAAAAAUAUUUUUAUUUUUAUAAAAAUCCAUACUUGUACCUAUCCCUAGUAUAACUAGUUCUUUCUUAUACCCGAAUCAAACGGAGCCUAAAAGAAUUAGAUUGAAUAUAUAUAAAAAAUAAAUUUAUAGAACUUAUUCAUUAGACUUUGAUCUAAUAGUUGAAACUUUAUAUAUAAAUAAGUCUUUUUAUAAUUAAGUUUGUCUUUAUAUUUUUAUUUUGCUAAAAAUUAAAUAAUAAAAAUAUAUAUUAUAUAUAUAGUUAUUUAUUUAUAUAUAUAUAAAUAUAAAUUAAAUAAAUUAUAUAAAUAUAAAAUAUAGUAUUCGAGCUGUUAUCGAGCCGAACACGAGUAAGCUAACCCCAGCUCGUAUUCAGCUCAUUUAUUAAACCAGCCGUAAAAUUCAAUUCGAGUUCGACUCGUUUACUAAACGAGCGAUUCGAUCUCAAGCUCAUUUUGAGCCGAACACGAGCUGGCCCGCGAACGACGAGCUGAAUUGCUACCCUAGUGCCUAUAUAACAAAUUUUUUAAAAAUAUUAUUUCAAUAUAAAAUUACUAUACUAUCUAUGAUUAGAAUUUUUUAGUACCAUGCAUGGUAUGAUAAAAUUGAGAUGUACGUUUUUUUUAAUACUAGAAUCUAAAAAAGUUAUCCAAAUUUUUGGAUAAGACGGAAGUAAUAUUUAUACCUAAAAAUUAGGCCUACAAUUCACAUUUCUCUAAAUAUAAAGAUAAAUAAAGGAGUUCUAGAAGCAGAGGUUGACCCGGGUCAAUGUAUCAUGGAAAGAAAUGGAAAAAAAGAAAGAAAAAGAAAAAGAAAAAGAAAAAGAAAAACGAGUACGAUGAACGCGCACAACGGAAACGUGGAACCGAAGCGCGGUCGCUUUUCCUUGUGUGCUUUGUACAACGACUUAAUCAUCCCAGUUUCCACGCUAAACAACUCUGUUGUGAUUAAUUUAGGCCAAUUUGCAUAAAAAAUUCAUUUAUUUUGGGCUUUUUCAAAAUCAGGUCACCUUUUUUGUUUUUGCAGAUUCGGUACGUUUUUUCAGCAAACUGACCAAAAUAUCCUUAUUACUUUUUCUCUUUCCUCUUUCUCUCUUCUCUUCGUUCUCUCGUUUUUUUUUUUUCGUCGGAAAAAAAACAAGCGAAGGCCAGGCGGAGCAAUUUUUUCUUCUCUUUUUCUUUUUCCUCUUCUUCUUCUUCUUCUUCUUCCUGUAAGAGCACGGGGCGCGCCACGGCGACUUCCGGCCUCGCCAAGCGGCGUCCACCCGGCGGCGUUCUGCAGGGAGGGGUCGGCACCGGCGACCGCGAGCGCUGCGGCGAGGGUGGGGGCGAGCGGGAGGCGGGCAGCGAGGUGGAGCGGGGUGUCGCAGCCGGGGACGUCGCGCCGGUCGAGAGCGGGGGUCACGCGCUCCGCUCGGGCGGCGUCGGCCGCCGUCGCGAUCUCCGACGGCUGCUUCUUCUUUUUCGUAAUGGUGUAAUGGUGCACGCGGGCCGGUGCACGCAGCGGCGGCGGGCGGGCAUGCGGGCGCGUUGCGGCUGCUUCUUUUUCGUCGUAAUGGUGUAAUGGUGCACCAUUACACCAUUAAUGGUGUAAUGUAAUGGUACACCAUUACACCAUUAAUGGUGUAAUGGUGCAAUUACACCAUUAACGGUGCACGCGGCCCGCGGAGCGGAGCCGCUGGCGGAGCUCCGCCGGGCGCAGCCGCCCGAGGGCCUCCUCGAAGCGCGCCAGCAGCGCGGCGUGGCGCCGGCGCUGCCGCGUGGAGCGGACAGCGAAGUCAGCGUGCAUGAGGGGAAGCUGGCGGAGCCCAAGGCGGCAACCGCACCAUCGACAAUUAAUUUUUCUAUUUCUUUCUGAAAUGAAGGGCUAAUUCUGAUACCACGUCGGCCGGCGGCGCCUGCGACAGAAGAGCGAGCUAGAGAAAGCAAGGAGGACAAGGAGGACGAGGAGAUCAGCAAGAGAGCAUUAGAACCGGAGCCUGAGAGGCCAUGUUAAUUAGGUCUCUAUUGAUCUCAAGUAACUAAACAAAUCAAGAGCAAUGCUAUUAAUUAGUUGUAUGAGCUCGUGUCCAACGAUUGCGUAUAUAUAUGUAGCAAUAAUUAACAAAUAGACGAGGGAACAUAUAUAGUGCCUUGGUCAGUUUAAUUAAUUACAACGUAUAGUUGUGUCGGCUAAUAUAUUUAUUAUAAAUGUGAUGAACUUCUAUCAAGUUGAGCCUCUGAAUUUUUUAUUAUAAAUGCUCCGCCAGCUUCCCUAACCUCGUCGGGAUGCGGGACUAACAACAGCGGUUCUGCCCCCUCCAUCCCCCCUCCAUCCCGUCCUCCUGACGAUCCCCCUCCCUGCAUCCCGAUGAGCGGCGGUUCCGCCGCCACUUCGACGCCGCCGGCGCCGUCUUCUCCGCCUCCGCCGCCAAGCUCGAGCUGUCCGCGCGCCUCCUGCGUGAGCGGCACGUGCUGGGACGGGCGGUCGCCGCCGCCGGCCGCAACCUCGGCCACGAGUUCGAGCGGCUGCCUCGGCCACGACUUCGCUGCCCGCUCCGCGCGGCAGCGCCGGCGCCACGCCGCACUGCUGGCGCGCUUCGAGGAGGCCCUCGGCCGGCUGCGCCCGACGAAGCUCCACCCACGGCUCCGCUCCGCGGGCCACAUGCACCGUUAAUGGUGUAAUUACACUAUUACACCAUUAAUGAUAAAAUUACACCAUUAAUGAUAUAAUGGUGUAAUUUCAAUAGUGUAAUUUCAUCAUUAAUGGUGUAAUGGUGCACCAUUACACCAUUAAUGGUAAAAUUACACCAUUAAUGGUGUAACCAUUACACCAUUCACCAUUAAUGGUGUAACCAUUAUAUCAUUAAUGGUGUAAUUACACCAUUACGACGAAGAAGAAGCAGCCGCAGUGCAUCGCGAUGGCGGCCGACGCCGCCCAAGCGGAGCGCCGGGCGGCGCGCGUGACCCCCGCUCUCGACCCGGAGCUGCUGCUGACCCUGGGGAGCAAGGGGAGAAGGAGGGAGGCAUCCGCAUCGCGCGCGCCGUGAGUGUCGUCGUCGCCUCCGUCUACCAGCCGAGCCGUCGUGUGCUGGGGCUCGUUGACCGCCGCCUCAUCCUCUCGCACAGCCGCGCCGCCUACUCCGGCGACCCGGGCCACCUCGCCGACUUCCUCGCCGCAUUCAGGUGCUCCAUCCCCGCCGGCGAGAGCCCCGCCGAGUUCGCCCUCGACGCCGUCCGCUCCUCGAGCCCGCCACGUCGUCGUCGCUCGCCGAGUUCAACACGGCCGCCGCUGAGGGACGUGAUCGCGGCGAGCAUCUCGCAGGGGAAGCUGGUGUCGUCGCGGGGGCGAUGAACGUGCGGCGCGCCGCGGAUCUGCUGCUGACUCGGGGAAGCAAGGGGAGAGGGAGGGAGAUAUCCAUCUCUGACAAGAAGCAGAGGAAGAAGAAGAAGAGAAAAAGAAAAAAAAAAGAAACGAAAUAGUGUAAAAUAUUUUUAAAUGGUGCAAUCUUAGUCUAAAAAGUGUAAAAUUUAUUUCAAAAGAGUGUAAUUUAUAUAUCAAAUAGUAUAAUUUUUAUUAAAACAGUGUAAUUUUUUUAAAAACUGUGUAAUCUUAUUUUAAGAGUGCAAUUUUUAUCAUCUUCUUUCUUCUAUAUUUUUUGAUCUUUUCUGUAGAAAAAAAAUAAUUUUUAUUUUUAUUUUUUAUUAUUCUUAUUUUUUUUCUAUAAUUUCUUUUUGUCACCAUUUCUUCCUUGCUUUCUAUCGCAACCACCGCGACGUCGUCGGAGGCGAUCUCGUCGCCUGCCACCUCCGACGACGUCUCGGCGUUCCAACACGCGGUGGAGGAGAAGCCGUUUGGCGAGGCCGGAAGUCGCCGUGGCGCGCCCCGUGCUCUUACAGGAAGAAGAAGAAAAAGAAGAAGAAGAGGGAAAAAAAAAAGGUGCUCCAGUAGGAGGAAGAAGAAGAAGAAAAAGAAAAAAAGAAGAAAAAAUUGCUCCGUCUGAUCUUCGCUUUUUUCUUUUUCCGGCGGAAAAAAAAAAGAACGAGAGAACGAAGAGGAGAGAGAAAGAGGAAAGAGAAAAAGUAAUAAGGGUAUUUUGGUCAGUUUGCUGAAAAAGCAGACCGAAUUUGUAAAAAUAAAAAAGGUGGCCGGUUUUGCAAAAGUCCAAAAUAAAUGAAUUUUUUAUGCAAAUUGGCCAUUAAUUUAGCCCACACUAGUAAAUGUUUUGAAGCAAAUUUUUUUUAAAAAAACUGUUAUAUGAAAGCUUAAGUUUUUAUAGAUCACCGGUUAAUUAAUUUUAAAUUAGUCCAAUGGCGCUUGUUAGUCGCAGCUAGCAUAUAUAGUUGUUUGUGCAGCAUGCAAGUUGCGCCUAACAUAUGAGUUGGAUUUAUAUCUUGUAUUAGUUGCAGUACCACUGUAUUAGGUUCAUGUCACGUAUUAAUAGUACCUAGCAUAUGUAGGAAGAGUAACAGUAUAGAAUCUUUGAUUUUUUAUGUUGUUACAACAAAAUUGAAAAAAAAAUCUGUUUUGUCGGACGUGAAAAUAAAAGCAUAGAAUAGAGAAAGAGAGAAAAAAAUAAAUAUACAAAUAUUUACCUGGUUCAGACACACACAAGCCUAUUUUUAACAGAGAAAAUUUUUAUUUUAACCAAAGUAGAGUAUAAAAGAUGCCUCUCUCAUAAAAAACCUAGCUUAAUUCCAAAAUACAUCUAUAUAUACUUCCUUUUUUUUCUGCCACAUCAAAUUAAUAAAUAAAAAGUAUAUUUAUAUUAAUGAUUAAAAUCCAAUAACAUUGGUAAUAAUAUCAAUAAGAUUAGAUCUCUCAAAAAACAAAAAAAUCAAUAAGAUUAGGUAUAAUCUUAACAUAACUUAAUAAGUUGACAGAGAAAGAAUGUGGUUAAUUAGGAAAUUUUACGGUUUUAGAAUUCAAAAUAUAUCUAACAUAUAUUAUGUGGAGAGUAUUUUCACCAGUUACUUUGAGUUUUGGGAAUGUUUUUAGCCUUUUAGGCCCGUUUGGAUACUCCAAAAAAUAUAGCAUAGUUAAACUAUACUACGGCGGUAGGAAAAAUAUCCUAUGAAGCGUUUGGGAGGAAAAAAAGUAACGAAAUUUUUGGAGUACUAGAUUAAACUAUACUCCAAAAAAUAGAGGUAAAAGUAUAAUCCAAUCUAACAAAGAAAAAAAAUUCCACCAUUCUUGAGCUCCUUAUUCAAAAAAAUGCAUCAAGUUCUAACUUUUAAAUUUCAACAUAAAAUUUUAAAUUUCAACAUAGAUUUUAAAUUUCAAAUAGAUUUAAAAUUUAAAAUUUAAAAUUUGAAAUUUGAAAUAUCAAAUUUGAAAUUUAAAUUAAAAAUUUAAAUUUUAAAUUUUAAAUUUCAAACUUUAAAUUUCAAAUUUCAAAUUUCAAUUUCAAAUUUAAAUUUCAAAUUUUAAAUUUCAAAUUCAAAUUUUAAAUUUUAAUUUAAAUUUAAAUCAAAUUUCAAAUUUCAAAUUUAAAUUUCAAAUUUCAAAUUUCAAAUUUCAAAUUUAAAUUUCAAAUAUAAUUAUAAAUUUCAAAUUAUAAAUUCAAAUUUAAAUUUCAAAUUUCAAAUUUCAAAUUCAAAUUUCAAAUUUAAAUUUUAAAUUUCAAAUUUCAAAUUUCAAAUAUAAAUUUGAAAUUUCAAAUUUAAACUUUAAAUUUUAAAUAUUUUUUUUAAAUUUAAAAUUUAAAAUUCUAAAUUUUAAAUUUCAAAUUUUAAUUUUAAAUUUUUAUUUUAAAUAAAAUUUCAAAUAUAAAUUUUAAAAUUUAAAUUUUAAAUUUUAAAUUUAAAAUUUUAAAUUUCAAAUCUCAAGUCUCACAGUUCAAAUUUCAAAUUUUAAACUUUAAAUUGUAAAUUUAUUUUUUUAAACUUUAAAUUUUAAAUUUAUUUUUUAAAUUUAAAAUUCUAAAUUUCAAAUUUCAAAUUUCAAAUUUUAAAUUUUAAAUUUUUUUUUAAAAUUUUAAAUUUAAAAAUUUAAAAAUUUAAAAAUUAAAUUUAGAUUUUUAAAUUUUAAAUUUGAAAAUUGAAAAUUUAAAAUUUAAAAUUCAAAAUUCAAAAUUUCACAUUUCACAUAUCAAAUUUUAAAUUUUAAAUUUUUUUUGAAAUUUUAAAUUUUAACUUUUAAUCUUAAAAUUUAGAAAAAUCCUGUUAAAUUUACAAUGCGUAUCCAAACAGUUUAAAAAUUGAAUCUGUGAAAUUUUUUAGAGUUGCAGGAUUCUCUAUUUUAUCUAGACCGAAACCACAGUUUAUAAAUUCCGUGGAGAUAUUUUACUGUGUAUCCAAACAGGUCCUUAAUAUAUAGUAAACAACUGUUGAAACUCACAAUCUCAUUUUUACUUUCUACUUUGAUAUAUGAUCCAAAAUUUUCUCUUUACUAUGUGCUCUAUGACAGCUACUGCUGAAAGUGAAAAUAGAAGCAAGAUUAAAUAAGGGAAAACUUCAAAAACCCCCCUUGUGGUUUCAUUUUUUUUCAUUUUAGUACCCUGUGGUUUAAAAUGUAUCAAGUUAGUACCAUGUGGUUUCUCACUUUAUCACUUUAGUACUCUGUGGUUUAAAGUGUAUCUAGUCAGUACCGUGUGGUUUUGCACUUUAUCACUUUAGUACUCUGUGGUUUUAAUUUUGUAUCAAGUUAGUAUCCUAUAGUUUUUUAAACUAUAGAAUACUAAAGUGAUAAAGUGUGAAAUCACAGGCUACUAAAGUGAUAAAGUGCAAAACCACAGGGUACUAACUUGAUACACUUUAAACCACAGGGUACUAAAAUGAUAAAGUGAGAAACCACAGGGUACUAACUUGAUACACUUUAAACCAUAGGGUACUAAAAUGAUAAAGUGAGAAACCACAUGGUACUAACUUGAUACACUUUAAACCACAGGGUAUUAAAAUAAAAAAGUGUGAAACCACAGAAGGGAUUUUUGAAGUUUGCCCUUUAAUAAUCCUUAAGAGUAAAUUUGUUGAAUUGUUGUAGAAAAGUAUUGGUGAGAAUCUAUAGAAUAUAUUAUUUGACGAUUGGAUCACCCCAAAAAAAUACGUUGUGAGAGAGCCAUGUUGCCAAUUAAGCCAUAAACCAACGGAAGUUUGCCACGUUUCUAAUAAAAAUUUUGGAUGCAUCCAUUGCUUAAGUCGACUUUAAAAUUUACAUCAAAGAUAAAAUUUUUAAUACAAUAAAUUAUUUAAAUAUUUUAUGUUAUAUAUAUAGGGUUAAUUUGAUACUAAUAUAUGUGGAGGUGAUUUAUGUUUGUAUUAGUGGAGGGAAAAGGAUUAUAACGUUUUAGUGAUCUCGUACUAUUUGGAUUAUCUUUUAGAGAUGGAGUAAUGCUUCAUGAACCUUCCUAAGAUAGUUUGUUAUAAUAUUGUUAAUGAGUUAAAUUUUUCGUACUAGUUGGGAUUGCUAUGUUAUAUCUAGGUAAUUAAAUCUGCCCAAUUAAUUUGUUAUUAUGUAUAGAAAUAAAUAAAAGACUAAAUUAUAGAAAAAAUACUCGUUUUUUUACUUCCUCUCCGUAACUUUCAAAAAACCUAUGUUUUACUCCCUCAACAUUUCAAAUUGUUGCAUUUAGCCCCCCAUUUGUCAUGAUUCUAUCACCGUUCUAUCCAUUUCUUUUCAUUUAUAUUGAAAAUAUUCUUUAAAUGACAAAAUAUAUUAAAAUUUUAUUUUUUUCUUAUAGAAGAAAUAAUUUACGUUUUGAAAAUCGAAAAGUGAAAGCAAAAAAAUGAUAUUUAUAAAAGAAUUUCUGUAAUUUAGCCUAAAUAAAAUAAAUUUCUUUUUUUAUUUGAAAGAUAGGUAGCAUGCUAUCCGCUUCAUUUAUUUCAUUUAGAAAUAAACUUAAGAUGAGUUUGUAUCCUUGUAAAAUCUCUCCGAAAAAAAAAUUUUCGAUUGAAAAUUUUUUUUUCCCUUGUUUGGUUAUCUGUAAAAUUUUUUUUGAAAAAGUUAUUUUACAAAUUUCUCGGAAAAAAUCGAGUUUUCGUUUUUGGCCUUCUGCCUGCGGAAAAUGAAAAGCAAGAUGGAAAUGGUGCGGCAUUUGGCGUGGAGGGGAGCAGCGGAAUAGCGCGGUCCACGAGGCCACUUCGGCCUUGUGCACCGUGUGAGAGGGAGGUGGACCUCCCUCUCAUUAUAUAUAUAUAUAUAUAUAUAUAUAUAUAUAUAUAUAUAUAUAUAUAUAUAUAUAUAUAUUAUAUAUAUAUAUAUUUAUUUAUAUAUANNNNNNNNNNNNNNNAUAGGUGGCAACGGAGCCCGUUUGCUAUCGAUAGUAUUCUAGCUCAACUCUAUAUAUAUAUAUAUAUAUAUAUAUAUAUAUAUAUUAUAAUAAUAAUAUAUAUAAUAUAUUAAUUAUUAUAUAAUAAUAAUAUAUAUAAUAAAAAAUAUAUUAAACACGUUUUCAUCUAUUUUUCUUUUCUUUUUAACCAAAUAAUCAUUAUGAAAAUUUUUUUUUUUUUCUACAAACCAAACGCUAAACUACGAAAUUUUUUCAAUUUUACGUCAAACCAAACAGCCUCUUAGUUGAAAAUAUGAAUCAACUAAGAUUCGAACUUGAAAUCUUCGAAUACCAAUCACUAAAUUCUUUGUUACUUGCUCUCGGAACUGUCAAAAAAAUAAAUUUCUUAUGUAUUAUGUUGAUGCACCUUACGCACUCUACUUACAAUUCUAAACAAAACCUAAAGUGGUGCGUACUGAGGAAGUAUUAUUUGGGACAAUGAUUAAAUAACACUUUAUUCGGUAGCUGAGCCGAAAUGCUCGACAUAAGCAACCGAGCUUUGGAGAUUCUACUGACCAAAAUGCAGCAUUAGUAAUAUUGUUAUUUUCUUUUCUAAAAAUGAUAGAAUGCUAAAGAAAAAAAUAAUAAAGAUAAAUGCAAGAUUUUUGAAGACCUAUUCCAAUUAAUUAGUGAAUUUCACAUCAAUCAGUGAGCGGAAGAAUCAAUGUAAAUAUUCUUUUGCUGCCCAAGGUGGCGAAAUACCAGCUUAUUACAUGAUUAAAUACUUACUGACAGGGCUAUAUUUUUUUAUUCUUAUGAAAUACAGGACCUUCAACUGAAACAAUCUCACUCAUUAAUUAAAAUCACAGCUGAUCGCACUGCGCAGGAGCAAAAGAUAACUUCUGAUCGUCCAGAUCGUAGACUAUGUGCAUAUUCUGCUGCUGAAAAUUACCAAUUAUGGAGAUUUCGCUGCCGGAAUCGAACAUCGCCAAGCACAUUAAACCCACGCUGGAAUCCUGGAGCAUGUAGUUGUCGCGCGGCAGAUCCAUAUCUGCGCCUUCGAGGUGGAAUAUCAGCUUCGGCACGUCCACCUUUGCUGAUGGAGACGACGGCAGCGAGAAGCAAAGGUCGAAGCCCUCCGCGGUGCCGUUAGCCACGGGCAGCUUCACCUGCGACAAGAAGGCGCUCCUCACGAGCUUGUAAGCAACCGUGGUUAGCUGCGUGAAGGACGUUCCGGAGUCUAU